UGACUCAAAUACAACCAAUCAGAACAUAUUUUGUGUUUAAUACCUAUAUAGCUAUGUGGCACAUGAUCUUGGACCAAUGAGGAUUCCCUAGGGGCGGAGCUAUACCUAUAUAGCUUUGUGGCACAUGAUCUUGGACCAAUGAGGAUUCCCUAGGGGCGGAGCUACCCAGUAUGACACCAUGGGAACAGUGGCCAAAUGCCUGGCAAAAUGUCCUGUUGGCAGUGUUUGUGUCACAGGUCAUUUCCACUGUGAAGGGGAAUAUCUUUCAGAGGAAAUGCAGCAUGUUUGAAAAUAUUCAAGACUUCAUCACAAUAUCAGAGAGAACAUGUGGAUACUCCACCAAAAACCUCCUGCAUUUUUGAUGACUCAACCUUCUGUCCUCUUCCAGAGAUGAAGUGACUCAUAAGGAGAGGCAGAUGAACUUGUGGUUGUGUGUUUCUGCCGUAUAUGAAAUUUUACUGGUGUCAUAUGGACGCUGAGAGGAAAAGAUCAGAUAAAAUUACACCAAGAAGGUUAGCAGGGCGGACCUGGACAGUGUCAAAGCUCGGUCAUAUGAGGGAAGAGACAGCCGUGGACCCAAAAAGGAAUAAAGACAGCAGUUUGUGAGAGCGCUGUUGACCUGCGAGCAGAUGUUGGACCUCAAAAAAAAAAAAAAAACACAAGCGCUGGUGAAAUAAACGGUGAAGAAUGUUAAAAAAGGAAA